rnacentral:misc_RNA from 1 species
CAGAAAAAAAAAAAAAAAAGAUUUUAAGCUGUUAAAUUUUACAAGAGCAAUCUUUAACAGAUCAAUCAUCAACCCAAAAAUAUGGCAUACGAUUGUGUUGCACUUUCAACAACGAUAAAAUCUUAUAGAUGGCUUUCCCACAGAAUCCUUUUCAAGAUGCCUCACAAUGCAGAUAAAUCAAUAAAUGGAAAAUCAGAUCCUUUGAGAGAGAGAGAGAGAGAAUCAA